rnacentral:rRNA from 1 species
UACGGAGGGUGCGAGCGUUGUCCGGAAUCACUGGGCGUAAAGGGCGCGUAGGCGGCUGGGGAAGUCGGCGGUGAAAGCCCGGAGCUCAACUCCGGGUCGGCCGUCGAGACUCCUCGGCUCGAGCUCACUAGAGGCAGAUGGAAUUCCGGGUGUAGCGGUGGAAUGCGUAGAGAUCCGGAAGAACACCGGUGGCGAAGGCGGUCUGCUGGGCAGUAGCUGACACUGAGGCGCGACAGCGUGGGGAGCAAACAGG